rnacentral:rRNA from 1 species
CACGUAUGGGGCGAGCGUUGUUCGGAAUUAUUGGGCGUAAAGGGCAUGCAGGCGGUUAUCUAAGUCUGACGUGAAAGACACGAGCUUAACUCGUGGAACGCGUUGGAAACUGGGUGACUAGAGUUCUGGAGGGGUAGCUGGAAUUCCAGGUGUAGGGGUGAAAUCUGUAGAUAUCUGGAAGAACAUCAGUGGCGAAGGCGAGCUACUAGCCAAGGACUGACGCUGAGAUGCGAAAGCGUGGGGAGCAAACAGG